rnacentral:misc_RNA from 1 species
UGGUUCUGGCAUCGAUGAAGAACGCAGCGAAAUGCGAUAAGUAAUGUGAAUUGCAGAAUUCCGUGAAUCAUCGAAUCUUUGAACGCAUAUUGCGCCCCCUGGUAUCCCGGGGGGCAUGCCCGUCCGAGCGUCGUAGUCCCAACUCAAGCAGUGCUGCUUGGAAUUGGCCCCCGCGGGGCGCCCUCGUGGUAGCCCGCAGGCCCUAAAUCUAGUGGUAUAGUGUCGCACCCCCCGAGCGAAGUAAAUCUCUCCGCCUAGGGGCCUCGUGUGGUCGCUGCCAGAUAACCCCACAUACUUUUGUAUGACACUGGAUGACCUCGGAUCGGGUAGGGAUACCCGCUGA